rnacentral:misc_RNA from 1 species
AAGUCGUAACAAGGUUUCCGUAGGUGAACCUGCGGAAGGAUCAUUAAUCCAGGCGCGGACCCCCCUCCUCGCGGUUGGGGGCGAGCGCCGCCUUCUACACCCACCCUUUGCCUAUGUGUACCCCUAUCGCUUCCUCGGCAGGCUCGCCUGCCGCCAGGAACCAACCAAACCCUUUGCAUUAUACAUGAAAACUUCUGAUAACAAACCAAAUUAUUACAACUUUUAACAAUGGAUCUCUUGGUUCUG